AGAGUUUGAUCCUGGCUCAGGACGAACGCUGGCGGCGUGCCUAAUACAUGCAAGUCGAGCGGACAGAUGGGAGCUUGCUCCCUGAUGUUAGCGGCGGACGGGUGAGUAACACGUGGGUAACCUGCCUGUAAGACUGGGAUAACUCCGGGAAACCGGGGCUAAUACCGGAUGCUUGUUUGAACCGCAUGGUUCAAACAUAAAAGGUGGCUUCGGCUACCACUUACAGAUGGACCCGCGGCGCAUUAGCUAGUUGGUGAGGUAAUGGCUCACCAAGGCAACGAUGCGUAGCCGACCUGAGAGGGUGAUCGGCCACACUGGGACUGAGACACGGCCCAGACUCCUACGGGAGGCAGCAGUAGGGAAUCUUCCGCAAUGGACGAAAGUCUGACGGAGCAACGCCGCGUGAGUGAUGAAGGUUUUCGGAUCGUAAAGCUCUGUUGUUAGGGAAGAACAAGUGCCGUUCAAAUAGGGCGGCACCUUGACGGUACCUAACCAGAAAGCCACGGCUAACUACGUGCCAGCAGCCGCGGUAAUACGUAGGUGGCAAGCGUUGUCCGGAAUUAUUGGGCGUAAAGGGCUCGCAGGCGGUUUCUUAAGUCUGAUGUGAAAGCCCCCGGCUCAACCGGGGAGGGUCAUUGGAAACUGGGGAACUUGAGUGCAGAAGAGGAGAGUGGAAUUCCACGUGUAGCGGUGAAAUGCGUAGAGAUGUGGAGGAACACCAGUGGCGAAGGCGACUCUCUGGUCUGUAACUGACGCUGAGGAGCGAAAGCGUGGGGAGCGAACAGGAUUAGAUACCCUGGUAGUCCACGCCGUAAACGAUGAGUGCUAAGUGUUAGGGGGUUUCCGCCCCUUAGUGCUGCAGCUAACGCAUUAAGCACUCCGCCUGGGGAGUACGGUCGCAAGACUGAAACUCAAAGGAAUUGACGGGGGCCCGCACAAGCGGUGGAGCAUGUGGUUUAAUUCGAAGCAACGCGAAGAACCUUACCAGGUCUUGACAUCCUCUGACACCCCUAGAGAUAGGGCUUCCCCUUCGGGGGCAGAGUGACAGGUGGUGCAUGGUUGUCGUCAGCUCGUGUCGUGAGAUGUUGGGUUAAGUCCCGCAACGAGCGCAACCCUUGAUCUUAGUUGCCAGCAUUCAGUUGGGCACUCUAAGGUGACUGCCGGUGACAAACCGGAGGAAGGUGGGGAUGACGUCAAAUCAUCAUGCCCCUUAUGACCUGGGCUACACACGUGCUACAAUGGACAGAACAAAGGGCAGCGAGACCGCGAGGUUAAGCCAAUCCCACAAAUCUGUUCUCAGUUCGGAUCGCAGUCUGCAACUCGACUGCGUGAAGCUGGAAUCGCUAGUAAUCGCGGAUCAAACAUGCCGCGGUGAAUACGUUCCCGGGCCUUGUACACACCGCCCGUCACACCACGAGAGUUUGUAACACCCGAAGUCGGUGAGGUAACCUUUAUGGAGCCAGCCGCCGAAGGUGGGACAGAUGAUUGGGGUGAAGUCGUAACAAGGUAGCC
rnacentral:rRNA from 1 species